GCAUUGGGAAAGACGAUGCGUCGACGUCGGCGUCGACGUCGACGUCGACGUGGCCGGCGGCGCUUUGCAGUUUAAAUAUAAACCCAAGCGCAGAAGUGGCCGGCUUCCAGUUGGGGCGUCGCGACGCUCGUGGGACAGACUCGCGAGACAAAAAGCUCCCGCUGGUCCCCGGGAUAAGUGCAAGGAGUGCAGCCUCGCUCGUAUCAAAAGCGAGCAUUUCCAGACUCGGUACCGUUUGGCACGAAGACACCUCGCGACGAAUUUUACUGAUUACCUGAGGAAAACUGCUGGCUACUUAGGAGGCGCAAGCAGAAUACCGGAACAACGACGGCAUAUCGUAUCGAAAAAUCUGUGUGAUUGUUUCGAAAAUUUAUAAUAAAAUUUGGCCGUGGAGUUUAAGAAAAUUAUCGAACAUAAUCAUUUGUAACUGGUGGUGGUAUUGCUGUAAGCGUCGUUAAACAGAAGAGUCAACUGCGAUGAAUAUGCCGAUAAUAGCGUCGAAUGGAAUAAAAACGUUGCAGCUAUCUCUUUUAAAUUAGUCGCGAUUCUCGCGAAUGUUCGAUCGGCACGGUGACUAAGGUGAUUAAUCAUCGUCAUUAUUCGAGCGCUGCAUCCGAGAGAAAGGCGAUGCCGCUGACGAGAGAACCGACGCUGCCGUAGACGUCAAAAUGUCGUACCCUUGAGCCAUCGUCUCGGCGAACGGUUUAGUGCCUGUUCGGACCUGAAUCGAAGAUUUAUUAACUCGCAUCGUAUCGCGAAUAAUCGAACGUACAAUUUAUACACAGAAGUGACGGAGGUGUUACGAACGCGAACGGUGUAAGGGGGUGAGGAUUAAAGGGAGCCCGGCAAAAGAGGAAUGCUAUUUGAAUUCCACCAGCCAUUUAAUCCGCGAUAAUUUAGCGAUCGUCGUAUCCCGAUUGGCGACAUGUCCUCCAGAGUCAGACAACAGAUUCGGAUAACGAUCUUUUUCAACGACGGUACCGUGGUGAUUUACAUCUAAAUCGGCGGCGGUGGCGCGGACAAAACGGAGGUGAGAUCAAACCGAGGUGAGAAACCCAUCGGAGGGAUCCACUAUCAUGGGGGACUUGUGAAAAUUCUAGCAAAGAGCCAAGGACGUCGAGGGAGGACGGGAAAGAAGCGAACUUGCUCGAUAGGGCCAAGAAAAUGGAGAGUUAGCGGAGGAAAGGCGAACGUCUCCCUUUGAGCCGCCACUUAGAAAACGUUGGUCGAAUCACUUAACCGGUCAUUGCACUACAGCGAUGGGGCUGGCCGCUUCGACGUGACGAUAAAGGAACCGAUCGGGCGUGUACAGGAUCGACCAACCACGAAGCGACUGCUCGGCUGCGAAUAAAAAACGCGGUAGCGAUCUAGCGCGACAAUCGGGUCGAGAGAAAGUGAGCUCUAUCGCGUGCGAGAGCCUCAAGGAUACAUUUUUGUGAUGAUUUCUCUACGCGAGGACAAAGACCGAAAUUGGGAGAUUCCAGUUCUUUGCGAUUGAUAGAUUGUGUGGACGACGUGUUGCGUUUCAUUGUUACAAGUUGGAGGCGUAGAAAGUUGGAAGCGUGGAAAAUUAUUUAUCACGCUCGUAAUAAAUGUGAUAUUAUUCGCUAAAUAAUAUAUACGUUAUAUAUAAAACUCUUUCUAAUAACUAUGUGUCAAUGCAAUUUGCAAUUAUCGAGACAUGUAUGCAUUUACAUUAUUACAUUAUUAGUAGGAUUUUAGGAUUUUAAAUACUACGAAAAAUUAUGGUCAAAACUUUUGCGUCAUGUGUAAUAAAUAAAUUCCAUUCGUUACAUGUAGUUCUUUCGCCGACGUAGACAUGCUAUUAUAACUAUUUUUGCUUUUUAUCUCUAUGGGAAUGUUACAUGUUGAAUAUGAAAAAUAAAAUAUGCGUGAAAUGCGAU